UCUGUUUGUCCAUGGAAGAAGAGGGUAUUUGUGUCAUCAUGGCUUCUGGCUGUGUUGUUGGCUACUAUAAUCUUACUGGUAACCCCCCUGGGAUGAACCUGCACCAAUUUCCGAAGGAUUGUGCUUGGCACAGGCCGAGCAGUGCCGCCAUAGCAGCUAUCAAGCGACAUAAUUAUUUGCUUGACAAUUUCGGGACUACAAUGUAAAUCCUUCGCGUGUGUUCCAGCCAUUUGGCAGAGGAGGAUUUUCAGGAGGAAUAUUAUGCACUCAUCCGAUGCGGACGCUGGUGGAUGAAACUGUGGUGUGUCCUUUUUUCGCACGCCACACUGUGAAGCGCCAGUCGAAAAGUGGAGGAAGAAGAUCAAGAGCGGCUGUACCAUCGGUCGCAGUGACUCAGUGUUGAGCUACGACCACUGCCAGUGCCACCGCCCAAAGGUUAUAGGAAGGACUGUUUGCAGCGCCAGCGCCUCUAGCUGGCAUGUUUUUUCCUGUAUGAACACACAGCCUGUACUGCUGAUAAGCUACAUCACGUAAUGACCCGCAGUUCAAGGAGAGAAGAUAGUCCACAUACCGGCAACAGUGUACACCUCAGGAGCUCGUUGCGUUUUCUCAGUAUGGAUGCAGAUGAGAGCCAGACAUUA